CCUACGGGAGGCUGCAGUGAGGAAUAUUGGUCAAUGGCCGGAAGGCUGAACCAGCCAAGCCGCGUGAGGGAGGAAGGCGCAGAGCGUCGCAGACCUCUUUUGCCGGGGGACAAAAGGCCGGACUCGUCCGGUCCUGAGGGUACCCGGAGAAAAAGCAUCGGCUAACUCCGUGCCAGCAGCCGCGGUAAUACGGAGGAUGCGAGCGUUAUCCGGAUUUAUUGGGUUUAAAGGGUGCGUAGGUGGUUAAUUAAGUCAGCGGUGAAAGUUUGUGGCUCAACCAUAAAAUUGCCGUUGAAACUGGUUGACUUGAGUAGAUUUGAGGUAGGCGGAAUGCGUGGUGUAGCGGUGAAAUGCUUAGAUAUUGCGCAGAACUCCGAUUGCGAAGGCAGCAUACCGGCGGCGAUCUGACGCUGAGGCACGAAAGCGUGGGUAUCGAACAGGAUUAGAUACCCCAGUAGUC
rnacentral:rRNA from 1 species